rnacentral:rRNA from 1 species
CAACAGGGAUUGCCUCAGUAACUGCGAGUGAAGCGGCAGAAGCUCAAAUUUGAAAUCUGGGGCCUCCGCGGCCUCCGAGUUGUAAUUUCACGAUACAUCGUUGACCGAUGGUUCCGUCGUAAGUUCCUUGGAACAGGACGUCACAGAGGGUGAGAAUCCCGUGAAUGAUGGAGCCUGAGGCGUAUAACGUGUAUUCAACGAGUCGAGUUGUUUGGGAAUGCAGCUCAAAAUGGGUGGUAAAUUUCAUCUAAGGCUAAAUAUUGGCGAGAGACCGAUAGCGCACAAGUAGAGUGAUCGAAAGAUGAAAAGCACUUUGAAAAGAGAGUCAAAAAGUACGUGAAAUUGUUGAAAGGGAAGCGCUUGAGACCAGACUCAAUGGGUGGUGAUCAGCGGUGCUUCUGUGCCGUGCACUUUGCCAUCCGUUGGGCCAGCAUCGGUUCCGACGGUGGGACAAAGUCUUGGGGAAUGUAGCUCCCUUUGGGGAGUGUUAUAGCCCCUUGAGCAAUGCCAUCAGCCGGGACCGAGGACCGCGCCCAGGCUAGGAUGCUGGCAUAAUGGUCUUCAGCGACCCGUCUUGAAACACGGACCAAGGAGUCUAACAUCUAUGCGAGUGUUCGGGUGGAAAACCCUUGCGCACAAUGAAAGUGAACGGAGGUGGGAACCUUUAGGGUGCACCAUCGACCGAUCCUGAAGUCUUCGGAAGGAUUUGAGUAUGAGCAUAGCUGUUGGGACCCGAAAGAUGGUGAACUAUGCCUGAAUAGGGUGAAGCCAGAGGAAACUCUGGUGGAGGCUCGCAGCGGUUCUGACGUGCAAAUCGAUCGUCAAA